rnacentral:rRNA from 1 species
GACGAACGCUGGCGGCGUGCUUAACACAUGCAAGUCGAACGAUGACGACCGAACUUGCUCGGUCUGAUUAGUGCCGAAGGCGUGAGUAACACGUGAGCAACCUGCCCUUCACUCUGGGAUAACAUCUGGAAAUCGGGGCUAAUACCGGAUAUGAUCUCCUGUCCCAUGGCGGGCAUUGGAAAGUUUUUCGGUGCAGGAUGGGCUGGCGGCCUAUCAGUUUGUUUGUGAGGUAGUGGCACACCACGGCGAUGCCGGGUAGCCGGCCUGAGAUGGCCAACGGGCACCCUGCGACUGCGAGACGGAGCAGACGCGAACGGUCGGCAGCAGUGGGGAAUAUUGCACAGUGGGCGAGAGCCUGAUGCAGCGACGCCGCGUGAGGGAUGACGGCCUUCGGGGUGUAAACCUCUUUCAGCAGGGAAGAAGCGAUAGUGACGGUACCUGAAGAAGAAGCGCCGGCUAACUACGUG